rnacentral:lncRNA from 1 species
GACUUUUAUUUGCAAUUAUAAAAAGAAGGUAUUUUGUGAUGGAAUUUUCAAGCCAUCACAAAACAAUAAAAUAUAUGAUGACUCUCAGUGAUGACUAAUUUUACCAUCAUUAUAGAGUAUUUGUGAUUGCCAUUGCAAUCACCAAAUCUUAUGUGGAAGUAAUUUUAUUUAGUAAGUCAACUUACAUAUGUUUCCUUUUAUAUUUUGUUUUAAAUUUAUAAUCAUGAUCUGGGCUUUGGUGUAGUGGUAAUAAUCGUUAUUUAGUUUGCAAAUGGGGGGAGGGUUCGAAUCCUACAAGUAUCAUUUGAUACAAUUAAUACAGUGAAAUAAAUUAUACCUAAAUAGAGAUUCACGUUCUUACAUUUGAUCUCUAGUCUUUUUUUUUUUUUUGUGAUGACUUUGAUAAUCAUAAUAGAUUAUGUGUUAAUGUGAUUGUAUUAAUCAUCACAAAAGCACUAAACGUUUGCGUGAUUGCCAAAAUUAUCACGUAAAACCUUUCAUGAUGGGUGUAUACAAGACGGCCAUUGUGAUGCUUAAAGCCAUCACGAAAACCUUUCGUGAUGGUUUUCCUACUUUUUGUGAAGAAUUUUUGCCAUCACACAUGACUAUUUUUUUAGUAGUAAAUAUAAAUUAAUAAUUACUAAAUUCCAUACAAAAAUUUAUAUAUAAACCCAAACUUUUUAGUUAAUCAACAAUAUCCAUACUGUAAGACCCCGAAUUAGAUGAAAUAAAAGCAUUCAGUUUUCCUUAUAAUUAUUAUUCUACUCAGUAAAUGGUUAAAUUGAUAAAAUGUUAAAGUUAAGGGUGAUAUGUGUAAAUUAUAAAAGUAUAUCGGGGAAUGAUAUUCAUUUUAUCGGAGAAUAUUCGUUUUGUCAGGAAUAUUAGGUAAAAGUACGACGACAUCGAAAUAGUCAAUCAUUGGUG